rnacentral:rRNA from 1 species
UUGGAGGGCAAGUCUGGUGCCAGCAGCCGCGGUAAUUCCAGCUCCAAUAGCGUAUAUUAAAGUUGUUGCAGUUAAAAAGCUCGUAGUUGAACUUCGGGGUUCACCCAUUGGUCAGGCUUAAUUGUCUGUACUGGUGAGAUGAGUCUCUACCUUCUGAGGAACUUUCAUGCCAUUUGUUUGGUGUGAUUGGAAAUCAGGACUGUCACUUUGAAAAAAUUAGAGUGUUUAAAGCAGGCUAACGUCUGAAUACAUUAGCAUGGAAUAAUGAAAUAGGACGGAUUGAUUCUAUUUCGUUGGUUUCUAGGGUCACCGUAAUGAUUAAUAGGGAUAGUUGGGGGCAUUAGUAUUCAAUUGUCAGAGGUGAAAUUCUUGGAUUUAUUGAAGACUAACUACCGCGAAAGCAUUUGCCAAGGAUGUUUUCAUUAAUCAAGAACGAAAGUUAGGGGAUCGAAGACGAUCAGAUACCGUCGUAGUCUUAACCAUAAACUAUGCCGACUAGGGAUCGGACGCAGUUAAUUUUAUAAUGACGUGUUCGGCACCUUACGGGAAAC